rnacentral:rRNA from 1 species
GAUGAACGCUAGCUACAGGCUUAACACAUGCAAGUCGAGCGGUAACGAGAGGAAAGCUUGCUUUCCUUGUCGACGACCGGCGCACGGGUGGGUAACGCGUAUCCAACCUGCCCCCAACUAGGGAAUAACCUUGCGAAAGUAAGACUAAUACCCUAUAAUUUCCUCAGAUGUCAUCUGACGAGGAAUAAAGAUUUAUCGGUUGUGGAUGGGGAUGCGUCUGAUUAGCUUGUUGGCGGGGUAACGGCCCACCAAGGCAACGAUCAGUAGGGGUACUGAGAGGAAGGUCCUCCACAUUGGAACUGAGACACGGUCCAAACUCCUAAGGGAGGCAGCAGUGAGGAAUAUUGGUCAAUGGGCGGAAGCCUGAACCAGCCAAGUAGCGUGGAGGAUGACGGCCCUAUGGGUUGUAAACUGCUUUUAUACAGGAAUAAAGUUAGCCACGUGUGGUUAUUUGUAGGUACUGUAUGAAUAAGGACCGGCUAAUUCCGUGCCAGCCGCCGCUGUAA